CUUNUAAUUAAAGUUNGUUGCAGUUAAAAAGCUCGUAGUUGAAUUUCGGAAUCUGUCCGUUGGUCGGGCUUCACUGUCCGUACUGGUGUGAUGGGUUCUUACCUUCUGAAUAACCAGCAUGCCAUUCAUUUGGUGCGCUGGGGAAGCAGGCCUAUUACCUUGAAAAAAUUAGAGUGCUCAAAGCAGGCUAGUGCCUGAAUACAUUAGCAUGGAAUAAUAAAAUAGGACGGCAUGGUUCUAUUUUGUUGGUUUCUAGGAUCACCGUAAUGAUUAAUAGGGAUAGUUGGGGGCAUUAGUAUUCAAUUGUCAGAGGUGAAAUUCUUGGAUUUAUUGAAGACUAACUUCUGCGAAAGCAUUUGCCAAGGAUGUUUUCAUUAAUCAAGAACGAAAGUUAGGGGAUCGAAGACGAUCAGAUACCGUCGUAGUCUUAACCAUAAACUAUGCCGACUAGGGAUCGGACGAUGUUAAUUUUUUAAUGACUCG
rnacentral:rRNA from 1 species